rnacentral:rRNA from 1 species
UCGUAACAAGGUUUCCGUAGGUGAACCUGCGGAAGGAUCAUUACUGUGAUUUACUACUACACUGCGUGAGCGGAACGAAAACAACAACACCUAAAAUGUGGAAUAUAGCAUAUAGUCGACAAGAGAAAUCUACGAAAAACAAACAAAACUUUCAACAACGGAUCUCUUGGUUCUCGCAUCGAUGAAGAGCGCAGCGAAAUGCGAUACCUAGUGUGAAUUGCAGCCAUCGUGAAUCAUCGAGUUCUUGAACGCACAUUGCGCCCCUCGGCAUUCCGGGGGGCAUGCCUGUUUGAGCGUCGUUUCCAUCUUGCGCGUGCGCAGAGUUGGGGGAGCGGAGCGGACGACGUGUAAAGAGCGUCGGAGCUGCGACUCGCCUGAAAGGGAGCGAAGCUGGCCGAGCGAACUAGACUUUUUUUCAGGGACGCUUGGCGGCCGAGAGCGAGUGUUGCGAGACAACAAAAAGCUCGACCUCAAAUCAUGUAGGAAUACCCGC